rnacentral:miRNA from 14 species
AUUUAUGUAUCUGUGCAUUUAUGCAUGCAUGCAUGCAUGUAUGUAUGUAUACAUGUAUGUAUGUG